GCCUCCUUCGUCUAGUGGUUAGGACACAAGAUUCUCAAUCUUGUAACACGGGUUCGAGCCCCGUAGGAGGUA
rnacentral:tRNA from 1 species